rnacentral:rRNA from 1 species
GAUGAACGCUGGCGGCGUGCUUAACACAUGCAAGUCGAGCGAGAAGUGAAGACGGAAACCUUCGGGCGGAAGGCUUUAUUUCGAGUGGCGGACGGGUGAGUAACGCGUGGGUAACCUGCCUCAUACAGGGGGAUAACAGUUGGAAACGACUGUUAAUACCGUAUAAGACCACAGCACCGCAUGGUGCGGGGGUAAAAACUCCGGUGGUAUGAGAUGGACCCGCGUUCGAUUAGCCAGUUGGCGGGGUAACGGCCCACCAAAGCGACGAUCGAUAGCCGAUCUGAGAGGAUGACCGGCCACAUUGGGACUGAGACACGGCCCAAACUCCUACGGGAGGCAGCAGUGGGGAAUAUUGCACAAUGGGGGAAACCCUGAUGCAGCGACGCCGCGUGAGUGAAGAAGUAUUUCGGUAUGUAAAGCUCUAUCAGCAGGGAAGAAAAUGACGGUACCUGAGUAAGAAGCCCCGGCUAACUACGCG